AUGGAUCAUGAGGUUCUGGAGCAUAUACUUGAUGGAAGGGAAAAUCCGACAAAUCUAUCACUCUCACUUUUGAAGUAUAUCACCGAAAAUUUCUCAGAGGAUCGAGAAAUCGGCCAUGGUGGAUUUGCAACUGUUUAUAAGGGAGUGCUCCGAAAUGGGAACGUUGCGGUAAAGAGGAUAAAGAGCAGUCAUUCAAUCAAGGAAACGUUGUUUUAUCGUGAAGUUGACAGCCUGUUGAACAUUGAACACGAAAAUGUUGUACGGUUUCUUGGCUUCUGUGCUAGUACAGAUCAGAUAGCAAUACAAAUUGAAGGAUUGAAAGAGCGUAUUUACGCUGAGGUACGAGAAAGAUUACUCUGUUUUGAGUAUAUCAGCAACGGAAGCCUGAGAAAAUAUAUCACGGAUGAAUUACGGGGACUUGAAUGGAACACACGUUAUGAAAUUAUUAGAGGCAUUUGUGAAGGUCUGUAUCAUCUGCACAAAGAAAAGCAAAUAUUUCACAUGGAUAUGAAACCUGAUAAUAUACUACUUGACAAUGAUAUGGUGCCGAAAAUCACCGAUUUUGGUUUAUCGAGACUUGAUGAAAUGACGCAAACCAUGAGUAAAGACCAUCUUGGAUCACUAGGAUAUUGUGCACCUGAAUACCAGAGCCACGGAAAGAUGUCUUUCAAAUCAGACAUGUACGGUUUAGGCGUUAUAAUUAUUGAACUAGUGACUGGACAAAAGGCGCUCCCCAUUAGCAAUAACAAGGUACUCAGGAGAUGGAGACACAGAUGGAGGAAAACAGGGAAGGAAACAGAGUUGGUUUACCAGCAAGUAGCAAAAUGCAUCGAAAUUGGGUUACUCUGCCAGGAAAUUGACCCGUCCGAACGACCUUUUAUAUGGGAUAUCAUAGAUGAUAUCAGACAAGCGGAAGGUGUCAAUGGGUCAAUCAGAAAUGACUCUGAAUAUAAGUUUGGACAAGCAAGCUCGUAUGCUCCCUUAGAGGCCAAGGCAUCGAGAGAUCAUACCAGUGAGUUCACUGUUUGGAGCACCAAAGUGAAUGAUAGCUUUGUCAUUGAGGAUAUGGCUACAAACAAGUUCAUUAAAGAGGCAGUCAAUGUGGUUGAUGAGGUGAAUUUGGAUGUGGUUUUUGAUGCCAGUGAGCCACAAGAGGCAGUCAAUUUUGUUGAUGAGGUGAAUUCGGAUGUGCUUUCUGACGCCAGUGAGCCACCAGAGGCGGUCGAUUUCAUGUAUGAGAAAGUGAUCGCUUCGAUUAAGGUCUCAGAGAAAAUAGUAUCCAAUGUUAAAUUUAUUGCACGAAAGCAGUGGCUUGUGGCUGCGUCACGUGAUUGUUUAGUCCAUGUGUACAAGUAUGGAAAGGAAUUGGAAAAGGUCACGAGUUUGAGAACUCACGAUUAUGACAGUGCCCCGUGUUCAUUAGACGUUCAUCCAACCCAGCCGUAUGUGCUGUCAGGAUGUUAUGCGCAAAUAAAGCUCUGGGAUUGGGACCAGGACUGGAACUGCAUACAGACAUUUGAAGAACACUCAGAUGAUAUUAAUGAACUAAAAUUUAACCCAGAGGACACCAACAGUUUUGCAAGUGCUUCAGAUGAUUUUACAGUAAAGGUUUGGAGUCUUGAUUCUCUCAAAUCCAAGUAUACUCUCUCUGGGCAUUUGGAAACCGUGUACUGCCUCGAUUUCUUCACACGUGAUGGUCAACAGUAUUUGAUUAGUGGCUCUUUUGAUGGCACUGCCAAGAUAUGGGACUUGCAAAAGGAGGAGUUUGUUCAUACACUCGAACAUGAGUCUAUAGUCUAUUCGGUCUUUGCCCAUCCCAGUCUUCCAGUUCUAUUUACAGGUGAUGGUGAUGGUGCUGUUCGUGUGUGGAGCUCCACUGAUUUCAGGCUGAAGAAAAAGCUUGAGGUCGAUUUGCCGGUUCGUGGUUUCGCAUGUUUGACGCGGUCAGAAGGGGUCGCAGUUUCACACUUUUAUGGAGUGUCGGUGAUGAAAAUUGGUGAUGAAGAAGCACAAGGUGGUAGCGAAGGCAACAACGAGAAUUCCGUAUCAGAUAUAGAGUAUUGA
rnacentral:rRNA from 1 species